UACGAAGGGGGCUAGCGUUGCUCGGAAUCACUGGGCGUAAAGGGUGCGUAGGCGGGUCUUUAAGUCAGGGGUGAAAUCCUGGAGCUCAACUCCAGAACUGCCUUUGAUACUAAAGAUCUUGAGUCCGGGAGAGGUGAGUGGAACUGCGAGUGUAGAGGUGAAAUUCGUAGAUAUUCGGAAGAACACCAGUGGCGAAGGCGGCUCACUGGUCCGGUACUGACGCUGAGGUGCGAAAGCGUGGGGAGCAAACAGG
rnacentral:rRNA from 1 species